GGCUGGUCUGAUGGUAGUGUAUUAUCAGAACUUAUUAACAUUGGUGUCACUAAAGUUAAUAUACAACCCCCAACUGCUAAAUUUGACUGGCUUAAA
rfam:Papio anubis isolate 1X1155 chromosome 12, whole genome shotgun sequence.